UCCCGGUGGAGCCGGUGAGGAAGCUGAAGGACGACGUGGAGUACUACGUGGAUUCCUGCCAGGAGCCCGACUUCGAGGAGAACGAGUUCCUCUACGACGACCUCGACCUCGACGACAUCCCGCAGGCUCUGGUGGCCACGUCCCCCCCCAGCCACUCCCAGAUGGAAGAUGA